UACGAAGGGGGCUAGCGUUGCUCGGAAUCACUGGGCGUAAAGGGUGCGUAGGCGGGUUUUUAAGUCGGGGGUGAAAUCCUGGAGCUCAACUCCAGAACUGCCUUUGAUACUGGAGAUCUUGAGUUCGGGAGAGGUGAGUGGAACUGCGAGUGUAGAGGUGAAAUUCGUAGAUAUUCGCAAGAACACCAGUGGCGAAGGCGGCUCACUGGCCCGAUACUGACGCUGAGGCACGAAAGCGUGGGGAGCAAACAGG
rnacentral:rRNA from 1 species